rnacentral:rRNA from 1 species
UACGUAGGGCGCAAGCGUUAUCCGGAAUUAUUGGGCGUAAAGAGCUCGUAGGCGGUUUGUCGCGUCUGCCGUGAAAAUCCGGGGCUCAACCCCGGACUUGCAGUGGGUACGGGCAGACUAGAGUGUGGUAGGGGAGACUGGAAUUCCUGGUGUAGCGGUGAAAUGCGUAGAUAUCAGAAGGAACACCUGUGGUGUAGACGGCUUUCUGGACAAUUCCUGACGCUGAGACACGAAAGCGUGGGUAGCAAACAGG